rnacentral:rRNA from 1 species
GACAGAGGCCUCGAGCGUUAGGCGGAAUCACUGGGCUUAAAGCGUGUGUAGGCGGGCCCGUAAGUGUCUUGUGAAAUCCCACGGCUCAACCGUGGAACUGCUGGGUAUACUGGCGAUCUUGAGCCACCUAGGGGCGAGCGGAACAAGCGGUGGAGCGGUGAAAUGCGUAGAUAUCGCUUGGAACGCCAAUGGUGAAAACAGCUCGCUGGGGGUGUGCUGACGCUGAGACACGAAAGCCAGGGGAGCGAACGGG